GGGCUUGGAUGCUAAUUGUAGCUAGCUUCUAUCCAUUUAUAUUUUAGUUUCUAUUAAUUUCUCUUUUUGAUACUGUUCCUGAGUCUAUGCUGGUCUGCUGGCUGCUUGACUAUAGCUAAAGUUUCUAAUGAAGGGCACACUAGUAGAGCUACAACUCCAGCCUUGAAAUGCACAGGCAGACAGAAAAAUAUAUUGAAAACACA
rnacentral:misc_RNA from 1 species